rnacentral:rRNA from 1 species
GAUGAACGCUGGCGGCGUGCCUAAUACAUGCAAGUCGAGCGAACAGAUAAGGAGCUUGCUCCUCUGACGUUAGCGGCGGACGGGUGAGUAACACGUGGAUAACCUACCUAUAAGACUGGGAUAACUUCGGGAAACCGGAGCUAAUACCGGAUAAUAUAUUGAACCGCAUGGUUCAAUAGUGAAAGGCGGUUUUGCUGUCACUUAUAGAUGGAUCCGCGCCGCAUUAGCUAGUUGGUAAGGUAACGGCUUACCAAGGCAACGAUGCGUAGCCGACCUGAGAGGGUGAUCGGCCACACUGGAACUGAGACACGGUCCAGACUCCUACGGGAGGCAGCAGUAGGGAAUCUUCCGCAAUGGGCGAAAGCCUGACGGAGCAACGCCGCGUGAGUGAUGAAGGUCUUCGGAUCGUAAAACUCUGUUAUCAGGGAAGAACAAAUGUGUAAGUAACUAUGCACGUCUUGACGGUACCUGAUCAGAAAGCCACGGCUAACUACGUG